rnacentral:lncRNA from 1 species
AGGGAGCAAACGACAAUCGACCAAUGACGAGAGUCAUCAACAUGAUUUUUAGAUGAUCAAGAGACUGAGGAGCAAACUCCAAAGAAGAGUCAUUAAAAAAAUAAUGACAUGAUAAUAUAAUCUCUAUUUUGAAUGAUGAUGUUUGAAAAGUAUAAAUUCCUCAUGAUGAUACUGUCGUCGUCUCGAUGAUGAUAGUAAAUUAUGAUGUAAAAAAAAUUCUUAUAGAUAAUGAAA